UGCCCUUGGCCACAAUUAACUGGAUCAGGAGCAGUUAAUAAAUUGGACACCUAACCUAAGCCUGAAAUUUUGAACCAUGUCUCUGAGUUAGCUGGGCCUUUCCUAAUGGUUCCCAGGAGAGAGAACAUAUAAACUGUAGUUAGCCUAGGGCACAGACAGGCAGAAAGGGCUGAGCUGCAGGGAAACAGGAAUGAAGAAGACCUGGAGCUGAAGCAGAGGAGACCAUGCAGCCCCAGAGAGGGGACUGAGAAGAUGUCAUAUCCUCCGACUGGAGCCUGACUGUUCUACUGUCUUGGGACUGAGAAUAACUCUUGUGCUUGAGGAGGGAAUGCUGUUUACAAUGGUGAUUACUAGAGAUUCAGGAUUUAAGGCAUCAAAUGACAAAAGGGAUGAAGAAUAAAUACAAAUACAUUUUCAUGAAA